rnacentral:rRNA from 1 species
CACGUAGGGUGCGAGCGUUGUCCGGAAUUAUUGGGCGUAAAGAGCUCGUAGGCGGUGUGUCGCGUCGGCCGUGAAAACCUGCAGCUUAACUGUGGGCUUGCGGUCGAUACGGGCAUCACUGGAGUUCGGCAGGGGAGACUGGAAUUCCUGGUGUAGCGGUGAAAUGCGCAGGUACCAGGAGGAACACCGGUGGCGAAGGCGGGUCUCUGGGCCGAUACUGACGCUGAGGAGCGAAAGCGUGGGGAGCGAACAGG